AUUGAACGCUGGCGGCAGGCCUAACACAUGCAAGUCGAGCGGGGUUUUCGGACCUAGCGGCGGACGGGUGAGUAAUGCGUAGGAAGCUACCCGAUAGAGGGGGAUACCAGUUGGAAACGACUGUUAAUACCGCAUAAUGUCUACGGACCAAAGUGUGGGACCUUCGGGCCACAUGCUAUCGGAUGCGCCUACGUGGGAUUAGCUAGUUGGUGAGGUAAUGGCUCACCAAGGCGACGAUCCCUAGCUGGUUUGAUAGGAUGAUCAGCCACACUGGAACUGAGACACGGUCCAGACUCCUACGGGAGGCAGCAGUGGGGAAUAUUGGACAAUGGGCGCAAGCCUGAUCCAGCCAUGCCGCGUGUGCGAAGAAGGCCUUCGGGUUGUAAAGCUCUUUCAGUAGGGAGGAAGCGUUGUGUGUUAAUAGUACACAGCGUUGACGUUACCUACAGAAGAAGCACCGGCUAACUCUGUGCCAGCCGCCGCUGUAAAAC
rnacentral:rRNA from 1 species